GUUAAGAUGGCAGAGACCGGCCAAUGCAAAAGACCUAAGCCCUUUUCACAGAAGUUCAAAUCCUCUUCUUAGCU
rnacentral:tRNA from 1 species